rnacentral:rRNA from 1 species
UAAGGUAGCGACAUUCCUAUCGGGUAAGUUCCGACCGCACGAAAGGCGUAAUGAUUUGGGCACUGUUUCAACGAUACACCCGGUGAAAUUGAAAUAACAGUGAAGAUGCUGGUUACCUGCGCCAGGACGGAAAGACCCCAUGGAGCUUUACUCCAGUUUGAUACUGGGAUUCGGCAUGGUAUGUACAGGAUAGGUGGGAGACUGAGAAGGUAUGACGUCAGUUGUACCGGAGUCGCUGUUGGGAUACCACCCUUACCAUGUUGGAUUUCUAACCUGUGGCCGUAAGCCGGUCAGGGGACAAUGUCAGGCGGGGAGUUUGACUGGGGCGGUCGCCUCCGAAAGGGUAUCGGAGGCGCUCAAAGGUUCCCUCAGAAUGGUUGGAAACCAUUCGAAGAGUGCAAAGGCAGAAGGGAGCUUGACUGUGACACCGACGGGUGGAGCAGGUACGAAAGUAGGACUUAGUGAUCCGGUGGUAUAAAGUGGGAUUGCCAUCGCUCAACGGAUAAAAGCUACCCUGGGGAUAACAGGCUUAUCACUCCCAAGAGUUCACAUCGACGGAGUGGUUUGGCACCUCGAUGUCGGCUCAUCGCAUCCUGGAGCUGUAGCAGGUUCCAAGGGUUGGGCUGUUCGCCCAUUAAAGCGGUACGCGAGCUGGGUUCAGAACGUCGUGAGACAGUUCGGUCCCUAUCCGGCGCAGGCGGAGGAAAUUUGAUAGGAGCUGUCCUUAGUACGAGAGGACCGGGAUGGACGGACCGCUGGUGUAUCUGUUGUACUGCCAAGUGCAUAGCAGAGUAGCCAAGUCUGGAAGGGAUAAACGCUGAAGGCAUCUAAGCGUGAAGCCCCCCUAAAGAUAAGAUUUCCCAUACCAAAAGGUAGUAAGACCCCUUGAAGACGACGAGGUAGAUAGGGCAGAGGUGGAAGUACGGUAACGUAUGGAGCUGACUGUUACUAAUCGGUCGAGGCUUUAACCAA